UGGCUACCGGCCCGGACCAGCCCAGGAGGCCCUAAUCCGAGCUGGCCCAGCUCGAUCUCCGCCGAAACACGCCGCCGUCGAGCGCCGCGCCUGCGCCUCCCACUCCGAGCCUCGCCGCCGCGACCGACGACGCGGCCCUCCUCGGCUUCUCGCGCUUCGAAGCCGACGAGCUCAAGAGCCUCCUCCCGCAGUGAUGCAGGCUCUAAAAUGCUGUAGCUACACAUGGAUUCGUCGUCCUGGACAGCGUGGAUUCAGUUCAUGCCGAUAACAUGUCCUGCACCCAGGCUUGUCAAACAGCACCUUGUUUUGGCAUUACACUGAAGAAUAUUCGGGGUUUCUGAUAGAGUAUGGUAGAUUCAGCUUUGAUUAUACACAAACUUCAAUCUAUUACCGUUACAUUGGAUGGUAUAUCAAUUGAUCCCCAUAUUAGUGGUUUGCACCAAUUGGUGUCUAACAAUCUACUGUUAUCAGUGUGCAA